rnacentral:rRNA from 1 species
AGCAGCCGCGGUAAUUCCAGCUCCAAUAGCGUAUAUUAAAGUUGUUGCAGUUAAAAAGCUCGUAGUUGAAUUUCGAGAUCAAAUUGUUGGUCGUGCCUUGGUACGCACUGGCAUUAUUGGUUUCUCCCUUCUGACGAACCAUGAUGUCAUUAAUUUGGUGUCUUGGGGAAUCAGGACUGUUACUUUGAAAAAAUUAGAGUGUUUAAAGCAGGCUCACGCUUGAAUACAUUAGCAUGGAAUAAUGAAAUAGGACGUUUGAUUCUAUUUUGUUGGUUUCUAGGAUCGACGUAAUGAUUAAUAGGGAUAGUUGGGGGCAUUAGUAUUCAAUUGUCAGAGGUGAAAUUCUUGGAUUUAUUGAAGACUAACUACUGCGAAAGCAUUUGCCAAGGAUGUUUUCAUUAAUCAAGAACGAAAGUUAGGGGAUCGAAGACGAUCAGAUACCGUCGUAGUCUUAACCAUAAACUAUGCCGGCUAGGGAUCGGAUGAUGUUAAUUUUUAAUGA